rnacentral:tRNA from 1 species
CAAAAGAUAGUUUAAAUAAAAUAUUAAUUUUGGGGAUUAAUGAUAGGAAGAUUUCUUUCUUUUGA